ACCCCGCACAAGCGGUGGAUCAUGUUGUUUAAUUCGAUGAUACGCGAAGAACCUUACCAGGUCUUGACAUCCCCCGCGAUGCUUUAGAGAUAAAGCGGAGGUAUUCGGGGAGACAGGUGGUGCAUGGUUGUCGUCAGCUCGUGUCGUGAGAUGUUGGGUUAAGUCCCGCAACGAGCGCAACCCCUAUUGCUAGUUACCAUCAUUAAGUUGGGGACUCUAGCGAGACUGCCAGUGAUAAACUGGAGGAAGGUGGGGAUGACGUCAAAUCAUCAUGCCCCUUAUGACCUGGGCUACAAACGUGAUACGAUGGCUGGAACAAAGGGAUGCGAAGCAGUGAUGUGGAGCGAAACCCAUAAAAACAGUCUCAGUUCGGAUUGAAGUCUGCAACUCGACUUCAUGAAGUCGGAAUCGCUAGUAAUCGCGGAUCAGAACGCCGCGGUGAAUACGUUCUCGGGGUUU
rnacentral:rRNA from 1 species